CUGUUUUGCUGCUGGAUCUGGAGCUGUGCUUCUGCUCUGCUGUUUGAUCUACUGCAGAUCAAAAAACACUGUCACCAGCAGCAUAAUCUGGAAUCUUCAGGUUUCUCUGGUCUUUUAUCCAAACAUCUGUAUGUUCUUUGCCUUCAUGCUUUGGGGCUUUACUGAAGGAUCUCUGCAUGAGACUGUCCCCUGCUGUGCUCUUUAUAUUCUGAGGCCUGUUAUGAUGAUUUGGGCUUUGCGCUAUUUGAAGUAUCUUCAAGGUAUAUUAGGAUUUAAAGUUUAUUUAUUU